rnacentral:rRNA from 1 species
UACGGAGGGUGCAAGCGUUGUUCGGAUUUAUUGGGCGUAAAGCGCGUGUAGGCGGUUUUGUAAGUCUGAUGUGAAAGCCCCGGGCUCAACCUGGGAAGUGCAUUGGAAACUGCAGGACUUGAAUACGGGAGAGGGUAGUGGAAUUCCUAGUGUAGGAGUGAAAUCCGUAGAUAUUAGGAGGAACACCGGUGGCGAAGGCGGCUACCUGGACCGAUAUUGACGCUGAGACGCGAAAGCGUGGGUAGCAAACAGG